AAGUCGUAACAAGGUUUCCGUAGGUGAACCUGCGGAAGGUAUCCACGUUAAAUCCCCCCGUGCACUUUCGAUCCGCUUAACUGUCCGGCUGUGUUGUGGAUCUUUGGCUAAAACAGUGACUUGGGACUUAGCGCUGAACGGUUUUGCGUAUUGAUUGGGUUUCUUUUGGGAGAAGAUGGAAGAGACGACACUGUCGUUUUUCCUUGGUGUGGAUGUUGCAGAACCUGUUAACAAUGGAUAUCUUGGUAUGAAGAACGCAGC
rnacentral:misc_RNA from 1 species